rnacentral:rRNA from 1 species
UACGCAGGGGGCGAGCGUUGUCCGGAAUUACUGGGCGUAAAGGGCUCGUAGGCGGCCAACUAAGUCGGACGUGAAAUCCCUCGGCUUAACCGGGGAACUGCGUCCGAUACUGGAUGGCUUGAGUUCGGGAGAGGGAUGCGGAAUUCCAGGUGUAGCGGUGAAAUGCGUAGAUAUCUGGAGGAACACCGGUGGCGAAGGCGGCAUCCUGGACCGACACUGACGCUGAGGCGCGAAAAGCGUGGGGAGCAAACAGG